rnacentral:rRNA from 1 species
AGAGUUUGAUCCUGGCUCAGAUUGAACGCUGGCGGCGUGCUUAACACAUGCAAGUCGAACGAGAAAGGGACUUCGGUCCUGAGUAGAGUGGCGCACGGGUGAGUAACGCGUAGGUAAUCUACCUCUGCAUCUGGGAUAACACUUCGAAAGGGGUGCUAAUACCGGAUACACUUAUGGGUCGCAAGACGUAUAAGGAAAGGAGACGAUCCGCAAGGAGUUUCUGUGUAGAGAUGAGCCUGCGUCCCAUUAGCUAGUUGGUAGGGUAAUGGCCUACCAAGGCGACGAUGGGUAGCGGGUCUGAGAGGAUGAUCCGCCACACUGGAACUGAAACACGGACCAGACUCCUACGGGAGGCAGCGGUGAGGAAUAUUGGACAAUGGGCGCAAGCCUGAUCCAGCGACGCCGCGUGAGUGAUGAAGGCCUUUGGGUCGUAAAGCUCUGUCAGCAGGGAAGAACGGCCGUGUGGUUAAUACCCAUGCGGAUUGACGGUACCUGCAGAGGAAGCACCGGCUAACUCCGUGCCAGCAGCCGCGGUAA